GACGAACCGUGCGAACGUUGUUCGGAAUCACUGGGCUUAAAGGGCGCGUGGGCGGCUUGCCAAGUCAGGGGUGAAAUCUUUCGGCUUAACCGGAAAACAGCUUCUGAUACUGGCGAGCUAGAGGGAGGUAGGGGUGCGUGGAACUUCUGGUGGAGCGGUGAAAUGCGUAGAUAUCAGAAGGAACGCCGGUGGCGAAAGCGACGCACUGGGCCUCUACUGACGCUGAGGCGCGAAGGCUAGGGGAGCGAACGGG
rnacentral:rRNA from 1 species